CUGGGAAUGGACCUAGUUUUAGGUAGAGCAGAAUCUAAGGUUCAAAUUAUGCAUUUGGAAGUGUCUCUCCUCCCUCCUCCCUUCUUCCCUCCUUCUCUCUCUCUCCUUCCCUUCCUCCCUCCCUUUUUUCUUCUCUCUGCUCUCUCUUUACCUGUCCUUCUCUUGGUUUGGCUUGUUUCUGCUUGGUUUCAUUCUACAGGCAGGGCCUCUUCGCAAAGAGGGUUUUAAAAUGGUGGCUGAACAUUCUGAAAACAUCAUCUCAGUUUAGCUACCCCAGCAGAAUGAGAACUUCUCUUCCCAACUCCCUAGAUCAAUCCUGGGGAAGACACUGAUUGGCCUUGCUUGAAUCAUGUGCCCACACACAAACCAAUCAUUGUGGCCAGGGGGAUAGGGUGACUGGCCAGUCUGGAUCAUGAAUUCACCCUCUGGGGGCUAUCCAUGACAAUUUGUCCUACUAGAUAGGACCUCAUGAGAAUCUGGGGAAAACCAAAGAAGGAGGAAACAAGUUACUAGACUAACACUAUAGCUACUACGGUCCACUACAUAUUCCAACCAGCUUAAAGGAAAGGGGGAAUUUAUCUUAAGGAUACAGGAGUAUCUUGUGGAAUACGAGGGAAGGCAUACAGCUGGGCCUUUGGAGAGAACUUGGAAGCUAUCAGGACCCUGGCAGCUUCUUUCUGCCCAGAUGCUUCAUUCUCUCUCUCUGCAAUCCUCCUUUUUCUGCUUCUUAGUGUACCCAGUGGGAAGAAAGUGGUGUCUCUACAACCUCCCGGUUUUGAUCUUCUUCAUUCAAGGGACCAGCCUAAUUUAAAUGUGCAAGGAAAGAAAGCUGAUUGAUCCAGCUUGAGUCAGAUUUCCACCCCCUAAUCAAUUGUGUUCAGUGUGUGUGGGGGAAGGGGGCAUACACCAGAAACAACAUACCCAGAGGAGAAGGAUCCAGUAUGUGUCAGUUUUAAUCUCCUGCAAGUGUAAAAGCUCCCUAGAAUCAUCCUAAGGAUCAUUUUAUCCUAAGACCUUCAUUUUGCAGAUAAAUGGAAGUCUCAAAAAGUUAAAGAGUUUGAGAUCUCACCCAUACAGACAGAGGCAAGAUAAUGACCUAGCUAUAACUGGUGCCCAGGUCCCAGGAUUUCCUUUCCAGCUCCUUCUACAACUCCAUGUUUAGGCUUAAUAAUUUCCAUGGCUCUUGUCUAUAGAGAAAAGUACAAAGCAAGUAUAAUCACACAGAACACACCUAUGCACACACAUGCACACACGCACACACACACACACACACACCCCACUGGCCAACAGAAAACCUGCCUUUCUCCUUCAUAGCCUUUGCUUCUGCUGUCCCUCUGUCUGAGUGGUCCUUCCACCUCUGACAUCCAACCCUUGGCUUGGUUAAUUCCUAUACAUCUUUUAAAGCUCAGCUCAGUUAUGACUUGCUAAAAGAAGCUCUUCUGAAAUCCCAAACUAGGUCAGCCCCCACCCUGUUUUGUGUUUUUCUAGUAUUUCUGGAUUUUCCUUCUUUUGUCAUUAAGUUAUCAAGAAUGAAAAUUUGUGUAAUUUGUUCAGUAGAUGCCUCCUCCUGGGUUGCAAGAGCUACAGGGCCAAGACUGUGUAGUAUCCCUGUGUUGGGCACCAUUCUUGCACAUGGUAGGUGCUUUGUGAAUAUUUGUCAGGAAAACCAAAAAGAAUGAAACAUAAGAGAACAACAAGAAAAAGAAUCUUUACCUUUACCCUUUCUCUUGGAGGAAUAUUUGACUUCUUAUUCUUAGCCUCAGUAAUGAUAAUGGCUAACAUUUUGGAGCAGCUACCAUCUGCCAGGCUUGGCAGUGCUAAGUGCAUUGUCCCUUUUAAUCCUCGCAUGAACUCUUUGGAAUAGGUACUAUAGGUGCUGAGCCUGGCUCUUCAGAACAAUAAGCAUCCUGACAAAUGACUGGUCCCUUGAAGACAGUACCAGGUCUUAUUCUUUGCACUUGGCCGGAGACUAGCCAGAUGCUGAGGUGUGCUCAGUAAAUGGGGAUCAUGGCUGAGAGGCCCUUGCAGGAAGCUAGAACCUCACACACUUCCUCUGGUUCCAGAGCAGGGGUGUGUAGAAUCUGUAGGGAGACACUGGUGGGUGUUUUCACAGGAGACUGUAGUGCCCAAGCAGCUUUAAAAGGGCUAAGGGAAUUUUCUGGGAUGCUCUACGCUUAUGUGGGAGCUGACUUUGCUUUGGGCCAAAAAUCUGUGGGUGGUGUUCAGAUCUCCUUCUAUG
rnacentral:lncRNA from 1 species